AUAUAUAUAUAUAUAUAUAUAUAUAUAUAUAGAGUUGGACUGAGCUAUUAUUAGUAGCAAAAUUUCAUUAUUGCUACCAGUUUUUUAGUCUUUGAAUCAGCUCUUUUCAUUAUUUCUAACCAUUGGAUUAAAUACUAUAACCCAGUGGAGACCACUCAACCCUAGGGGGACCACUCAACUCUAACCGACUAAUAUCAUCCUGACCCUACAAUUUUUCAUCCAAGGGUUAAAAACUUGAUAGCAAAAAGAGUGUUUUACUAUUAAUAGUAUUCCAGCCUAAUUAUAUAUAUAUAUAGAGUGAGGCUAUUAUGCUAUCGGAAGCAUGGAGCCUUCCGUGCUUCCAGCUCGUUUUCGAUGUUGCGACUUUCGAAUCGUCGAUCGGCUCCGUUAAACUUGAUCUAGAGUAUUUGGAGUACCUAGAAAAUAAAUUCUAUUAUUUUUCGAUAUCAUUUGCCUAGUGAUCGAAUGGGCUCAAAAUCAACAAAUUUCAAUGACCGUAGUGAGCCGUUUGCAAGUUUAACAGUGUAGAAAUAUCCAAAUCACGUGAAAUUUUGAUAGAAAAUUUUUUAUACUAUAUAAAACAAGAUCAAUAUCUUUGAUUUAAAAUUUAAUGUCAUAUUAUUACAUUUUGUAAGAUUUUUAUUUUCAGCCGUUGAUUUUGAGGCCCUUCGUUCACUAGGCAAAUGAUAUCGCAAAAUCAUAAAAUUUAUUUUCUAUGUACUUCAAAUACUCUAGAUCAAGCUUAACGGAGCCGAUCGACGAUUCGAAAGUCGCAACAUCGAAAACGAGCUGGAAGCAAAGAAGCCUCCGUGCUUCCGAUAGCAUAGUAGCCUCACCAUAUAUAUAUAUAUAUAUAUAUAUAUAUAUAUAGUAGGGCUACUGUGCUAUUAGGAGCACAGCAGCCCUUGUGUUCUUAAGUUCUUAACCGCCCAUCAAAUUUGAUGGGUGGUUAGGGUGAAAGAGAAAAGAGUAAUUAGAGAGAAAUUAGGUUUCUCAAUUUCUCUUCUCUUUGAAUUUCUCUCCAAUUUCUCUUCUCUCAUUCACCCUAACCACCGAUCAAAUUUGAUGGGCGGUUAAGAACUUAGGAGCACAAAGGCUGCUGUGCUCCUAAUAGCACAGUAACCCUACUCUUAUAUAUAUAUAUAUAUAUAUAGUAGGCUGGUAUGCUUAUGGCCUUCCGUGCUUCCACUUUGUUUUUGAUGUUCGGACUUUCGAAUCGACGAUCGACUUCGUUAGAGUUGAUCUAGAGUAUUUGAAGUACCUAGAAAAUAAAUUUUGUAAUUUUUCGAUAUCAUUUGCCUAGUGAUCGAAGGGGCUCAAAAUCAAUAAUUUUAAUGGCCGUGGUGAGCCGGUUGCAAGUUUAACGGUGUAGAAAUAUCCAAAUCGCAUGAAAUUUUGAUAGAAAAUUCUUUAUACCAUAUAAAACAACAUCAAUAACUUUGAUGCUUUUGAUAUAUAUAUAUUUUGUGACCCUUUGAUCGUUCAGUUAGUGAUUCGAAAAAAUCAUAAAAUUUGAUUUCUAAAUAAUUUGAAUGGUCUAGAUCAUGUUCAACGAUGCCGAUCGUCGAUUUGGAAGCUCUAUGAUAAAAAACAAAUCGGUAGUAAACCGAUAAGUUUACUACCGAUAGUAGCCCAGUCAAACACUCUCUCUCUCUCUCUCUCUCUCUCUCUCUCUCUCUCUCUCUCUAUAUAUAUAUAUAUAUAUAUAUAUAUAGUCCAGCUAUGGUGCUUGUAAAAAUACCAAGCACUUGGUGCUUGUAAGUUUUUUACCGUUAGAUCUAUUCCUCGAAUCAUUUUUCAAUCAUUAGAUUAUACUAUUCAACCAACCACUUACUCAACCCUAAGGGGCUCACAUCAUCCUAACCGAAUAUCUCUUAAUCCAAUGGCUAAGAAUUUACAAGCAUCAAUAACUUGAUACUUUUAAAAGCAUAGGAGCUCAAUUCUCUCUCUCUAUAUAUAUAUAUGAGUUGUGCCGGUAUGCUUAUGGAAGCACUAAGGCCUCUGUGCUUUCAAGUUGUUUUUGAUGUUCGGACUUUCAAAUCGACGAUCGGCUCCGUUAGAGUUAAUCUAGAGUAUUUGAAAUAUCUAGAAAAUAAAAUUUUGUGAUUUUUCGAUAUCAUUUGCCUAGUGAUCAAAGGGGCUCAAAAUCAAUAAUUUUAAUGGCCGUAGUGAACAGAUUGCAAAUUUAACGGUGUAGAAAUAUUCAAAUCAUAUAAAAUUUUGAUAGAAAAUUCUUUAUACUAUAUAAAAUAAGAUCAAUAUCAUUGAUCUAAAUUUUUAAUGUCAUAUCAUCACAUUUUGUGAGAUUUUUAUUUUCAGCCGUUGAUUUUGAGCCCCUUCGAUCACUAGGCAAAUGAUAUCGAAAAAUCGCAAAAUUUAUUUUCUAGGUACUUCAAAUACUCCAGAUCAAGUCUAACGGAGCCGAUCGUCGAUUCGAAAGUCCCAACAUCUAAAACAAAUUGGAAGCACGGAGACCUCCGUGCUUCCAUAAGCAUACUAGCCGCACUAUAUAUAUAUAUAUAUAUAUAUAUAUAUGAAUUAGGCUGGAAUACUAUUAAUAGUAAAUUGCUCUUUUUGCUAUCAAGUUUUUAACCCUUGGAUGAAAAAUUAUAGGGUCAGGAUGAUAUUAGUCGGUUAGAGUUGAGUGGUCCCCCUAGGGUUGAGUGAUCCCCACUGGGUUAUAGUAUUUAAUCUAAUGGCUAGAAAUAAUGAAAAGAGUUGAUCUAAAGGCUAAAAAACUGGUAGCAACAAUGAGAUUUUGCUACUAAUAGUAGCCCAGUCCAACUCUAUAUAUAUAUAUAUAUAUAUAUAGGCUGGGGCUACUAUACUUUUAUAAGUAUAGAACCCCUAAUACUCAUAAAUUUUUAAUCGUUGAUUGAUGGGAUGUGUGGUUAGGAUGAUGGUGGCCCUCACUUAAAAUAAUAGUGGUCCCCUAGGGUUGAGUGGGUAGUUGGUUGAAUAGUAUGAUCUAGCGGGUGGAAAUGAUCAAUGGAAUAAAUCUAAGGGCAAAAAACUUAUGAGGAUAAGAGAGCCAAUACUUAUAAAAAUAUAGUAGCCGGACUCUAUAUAUAUAUAAAAUAUGGCUACUGCGCUACUAAGAGUACAUGAGUUUUUGUACUUCUAAAUUUCUAAUUAUUCAUCAAUUUUGAUAAGUGGUUAGGAUAAGAGAGAAAAGAGAAAGUGAAAAGAUAUU
rnacentral:lncRNA from 1 species